UACGUAGGGGGCAAGCGUUGUCCGGAUUUAUUGGGCGUAAAGAGCUCGUAGGCGGUUUGGUAAGUCUGGUGUGAAAUCUCCACGCUCAACGUGGAGGGGCCACCCGAUACUGCCAUGACUGGAGUCCGGUAGAGGAGUGUGGAAUUCCCGGUGUAGCGGUGAAAUGCGCAGAUAUCGAGAGGAACACCUGCGGCGAAGGCGGGUUGCUGGGCCGACACUGACGCUGAUGCGCGAAAGCCAGGGGAGCGAACGGG
rnacentral:rRNA from 1 species